rnacentral:rRNA from 1 species
UGGGGAAUAUUGCACAAUGGGGGAAACCCUGAUGCAGCGACGCCGCGUGAACGAAGAAGUAUUUCGGUAUGUAAAGUUCUAUCAGCAGGGAAGAUAAUGACGGUACCUGACUAAGAAGCACCGGCUAACUCCGUGCCAGCAGCCGCGGUAAUACGGAGGGUGCAAGCGUUAAUCGGAAUAACUGGGCGUAAAGGGCAUGCAGGCGGUUAUGCAAGCAGGGAUGUGAAACCCCCGGGCUUAACUUGGGAACUGCAUUCUGAACUACAUGACUAGAGUAUUGCAGGGGGAGACGGAAUUCCAGGUGUAGCGGUGGAAUGCGUA